rnacentral:lncRNA from 1 species
AAUGGGUUGUUAUACCUUACUUUGUCAUAGAUUUACUAUUUAAAACAUGUCCUUCAUUUCAGAAUGGUUAUUUUUAUGGCUGCCGCAACCCCAAAGUCAGGAUAUCUUUCUAAGGAUGGCACCAACGAAAGUGGAAAAGUCAUAUCGGAGGGAUUUUGUGACCCAUGCACUGUUUGAAGGAAGAGAGGAAGCAUUUCCUUCUGAGUGGCCUGGUGAAAGAGUUCAAGGCUGUCAAGCUGCAGGAUCCAGCAAGUUGAAGAGCCAGGUGCUUGAUGGAUUAGUCUACAUUUACGGACAAUUGGUUUUGUUUAUAUGAAGGGAGAGGAGAGAAAUUGGCUACAUGCUAGAGAGAAAUUGAGGUAGUAACUGCACUCUACAGGAAGAGGUAAGGUGCUUAUCCACAGAGCUAUUUUCCAAAAAAUUUUAGACAUUCUAGGUAUGUCUAGCAUGCU